AACGUAGGACACGAGCGUUAUCCGGAGUUACUGGGCGUAAAGGGCGUGUAGGUGGUGCGUUAAGACUGGUGUGAAAGCCUUCGGCUUAACCGAGGGAGGACACUGGUGACUGUCGGACUUGAGGCAGAUAGAGGGGUGUAGAAUUCCGGGUGUAGUGGUGAAAUGCGUAGAGAUCCGGAGGAAUACCAGAGGCGAAGGCGGCACCCUGGGUCUGACCUGACACUGAUACGCGAAAGCAUGGGGAGCGAACGGG
rnacentral:rRNA from 1 species